CAAUCUUUUUUUUUAAGGGCGGAACCAAAGUUCGGGAAGUUUUGGUUCCGCCCGGAAAGUUUCCCCACCGGGCCAUAUAUGAGGACGGACCUUCUCACUUCCUGGUUGCCAGGACGACGGAAUUAGGGCUUGACGAGCUGCAGGUGAGAGGGAUUAAGGCAGCGAAACAGGAUUGGAGGCCGGUUGAAAUAAAUAGCUCUGCUGAAACACAAGAAGGGGAGUUCGGGCACGAGAAGGGAGGCACGCGGGGAAAGCUCCUCUGCCUAGGGCAGGAACAGUAAAUACGUACCUUUUGAAGAGCCCGCAGGCUCUGUUGAUCCGGGCUGCGCUUGGAGCGCGCGGAGAGAAGACAGGAGCUGUCUGGGGCGAAAGGAAGACGAUACGUGGGUGGAGAAAAGGAGCACCCCGAAGAGAGCAUUGUGCUGUCAAGUUUGUUUUAGUGUGUGCAGAGGAACGGAGCUGUGCUCGUGAUAGACGUGGUGGCUGUCUACAUGUUCUCUCUCUCUCUCUCGCUGCAGUCUGCGGUGCAAACGCUGGAGUUAAAGGAAAACCCUACGGGUAGAAGAAACAUUGGUCUGAGGGGCACAUUUAAAAGAGUAAAGCGGGAAGGAAACCGACUUUGUGGCGCAACAUAAAUAAAGGAGGAUCGCUGUGAGUAUCACUCUUGUGUUAAGCACAUGUAAAACUAACCUGUGAAAUUGUGUGGAUACCUCCAGGAGAGGGAGGGCGGCCCUGCCCCUGAAACAGCGUGGUGGGUGAGCCGUUAGAAGCGUCAAUCCAAGCAGCCACAGCAACGAAAUACUAUUCUGGACGUAUUUUCCAUCGCCCUUAUUUCAGCCCAAGUGAAGUGGAGGACGCCGGGCGUUUCCUUGUUGUGUACACUUAUAGUGUGGUGAGUGAGACUUUGCAAUUUAUAAGCUUUUCACGUUGGAGCGGUGCUGUGUAUUUGCUGUGGGUUGCUGUGUGUCUUGUCAGACGAAGCCCCGCAUCAUCCAUUUUUCUACUGGGCAGAGGACGGAGAGGCUAACGACCUCAGAAUUUACAGCUACCAUACGCAGUGUGCUGUUUUGGAGUGUGAAGGGACGCAGAUCAAGAGCUGUCAGUGACUGUGAGUACAAUAUUGGAAAUAUUCGUGGUGCAAACUUACCUGUGUCUGUCCUUGUCGCAGAGUCGGAGGCGAGAGGGUCCGCCGCCCCCGCGGUCUCUACAAAGGGGCGCCCCUGUCCGGGAUUCGAUCGCCCGACGGGCAGUGGAGAUAGGGCAGCGCUCGACCCGGUGAGGUGGUGUGUGACCUUCGCCCCUCUGCUGACCUAUGGAGGAAACCAUACUUAUCAAGAGCUGUAAGAAGCAGAGCAGGCGAGAAGCAUCCAAAGCCCACGUAACAGUGUUUUGUGUCCUAGUGGCCACCUGUGGAGGGAAAGGAGAACGAGAGCGUACAUUAAGAAAACAGACUGACGGCCACCUGUGGAGAGAAAGGAGAACGAGUAAUGCACGCCAAGAGAAUGGACUGUGUGAAGAUCCAGUGGGUGGUGAAGGAGGAGAGCCUAGAGUGGCCAUUAUUUUAAGACCCCCUUUUUUCCCUUCCCUAUUUAUCAUUUUUAAGUAAUUAAAUAAAGUACAUUUUAAUUUA